rnacentral:tRNA from 1 species
GCCGGAUUGUCCUUGUACCCGACC